rnacentral:rRNA from 1 species
UACGUAGGGUGCAAGCGUUGUCCGGAAUUAUUGGGCGUAAAGAGCGUGUAGGCGGCUCGAUAAGUCCGCUCUGAAAGUCCAGGGCUCAACCCUGGGAUGCGGGUGGAUACUGUCGGGCUCGAGUCCGGAAGAGGCGAGUGGAAUUCCUGGUGUAGCGGUGAAAUGCGCAGAUAUCAGGAGGAACACCAAUGGCGAAGGCAGCUCGCUGGGACGUGACUGACGCUGAGACGCGAAAGCGUGGGAGCAAACAGG